CCAAAAACAUAGCCCUAGAUAAAAUCUAAGGUGUAACCUGCCCAGUGGUUUUUAAUUAUAAAGGAUAAAACCCUCGUAAUAAAACUAAAAGGACGCGGUAACCUUGACCGUGAUAAUGUAGCAUAAUCACUCGCCAUUUAAUUGAUGGAUAGUAUGAAUGGUUGAACGAAUAUUCCACUGUCUUAAAAAGAAUCAAAUAAAAUUAAAAUAAUAGUUAAGAUGCUAUUUUAAACUGUAAGACGAAAAGACCCUAUAGAGCUUAACUAUAAUUUUCUUUUAAUUAUUAAAAAUAAUAAUUUUAAAAUUAAGAAAAUUGGUAGUUUAGUUGGGGCGACUACCUUCUAUAUAAAACGAAGGUAAGCAAAGUUAAUAAAAAACUUAUUAUAUAAAUAAAAAAUUUAAUAAUUACAAAAGUAGGCUAUAAUGACCCGUUAAUAUUUAAUAAAAAAUUUAACGAUCAAUUAAUAAAAGCUACCUU
rnacentral:rRNA from 1 species